GCUUUCCUGUGGCUCAGUCAGUAGAGCAUUGCACUAGCAAUGGAAAGAUUAUGGGUUCGCACCCAAAAGAAAGCA